UCUGAUUGGUUGGUUUGCAGACAGGCUGUUAGGCAGAGCCAGCCCAUUGGUGGGGGACGGUGGGCAGGACGAUUGAAACUGUCUGUCUGAAGGCUCCAAUCGAUUCAGAAUAAAACCGGACCCUGAUCCAGUCAGCCAUUGGGCCAUCUGAACAGGAGGGUGUUAACCAGCACCUUGACCCACCAAUAGAAACUCUCUGCUUUGGGAUCAACCUAUCCACAAUCCGCCCUGUCUCCUUCUGCUGAUCUCACUCAGCCAAUGGGUGAGAGCAACUGGACUAGGCAAAUUAUCCGAUCGAACGGUGACAUUUUAAUUUGAGCUAUUUGAACAGAAGAGGGGGAUAUGAACUUUGACCCUCAUGGAAGGCCGCCUCAUGCUGCAUGGCGAGACUCAGUCCCAGUGCUCUAAAAUGGCCUCCAGUUCUCCUUUUCUUCAUUACCACUGAUAGCUGAAAGGUGUUCAUUUUAGCCAGGACUGUUGUACAGCCCCCCCCCCAUAUCUUAACUACGUGCCCUCGUCUAUACCCCUGAAGGAACACAACACACCAGACUUCCACACCUGACUAGGGGCCAAAUGGGAGGAGCACCUGAGAGUAACACAGGCCCGUGUCUUAAAAACAACUCUCAUAAAGAAACCCUUUACUCCUCACAGCCCAGAACAACUCCACCCCACCUUUCACUCCUUCCCCUUUGACCCUUCAACUGAGCCUGUGAUCUAUUCUCCCAUUGGCCAAUGGACUUCCUCCCCCCACCCCUCACAAUAAUGCCACACCCACACCCCUAGUGCUAACCAGUCCCAUCAUCCACUAACAGUAUAGCCCUUCUAAUCAACAGUAUUUCUGGGUAAAAAUGCACUUUAAACAAGGCUGUUACCUUCUUGAUGUGUUUUCUAACAAUGCUCCAGUUACAGAUUAUGAUCAAAUGCAUAUACAGUAUAUAUGUGUGUUUGAGAUGUUUUUAAUCCCUUAAGUCUCCUUUGUUUUUUUUGUUGUUGUUUUUUUACGAGGGUUCCAUCCUGGUCUCCUUCUACACUUUCUACCCCUCAUCCAAUCAGGGUACUCCACAGAUAUGGAGCUGGGCUUCUUUUGCCCAAUAAGACGCAAGCAAUAGAGACGUGAGAGCGGUUAACUUCCUGUGUAGCCGUUUGUGUUUUAGAUUUCUCCAGGGCAAUACAGAGCUGCCUCAGCACUGCAUGGAAACGUUCAUGUUGUCGUGUUUCUUGUCCCGAGCGAAUAAAGCUAGACCGAUUCAAACUCCCUGACAGACAGGAAAUGCCAUUCCUGUUAUUGGAUGCUGCCGGUUAGAGUUGCCCAGAGGCACACUUCUAGGAUCAGGUUAUCCAAUAGGGACACAAAACUGACCCUAGAUCCGCAUCCAGGACAGCUUUAUCCUACUCCCUAUGGCUGACCACAAGCAGCCAAUGACAACGGAUCGCCUCACGGAACAGACACAUAUGUAGCUACAGAAAUUGCUGCCCCUGCGGGAGUGAUUAAGCUUGUGAACUGUUUUUCAAAAUGCAUCCAAAAUGUGUAAAUAGGAAUGCUUAGUACAUUUGAUCAGCACAUAUCGGCUAAUCGGCCGUGUUUCUUCAAUGUUACCUUCACUACCAGGAUGUCCAAGGAACAUUGAGGACACGCUGCAUCAUGUUGGUUGUUGAUGGGUAUCUCUGCUUGCUUUUGUCUUUGUUGUAGCUGCCGUAGGUUUCUACAGUCUUGUUUUUGUACACCCUUUUUAAUAAACACUCUACCAAAUGAAACCUC